rnacentral:rRNA from 1 species
AGGGUUCGAUUCUGGCUCAGGAUGAACGCUGGCGGCGUGCUUAACACAUGCAAGUCGAACGGGAUCCAUCAGGCUUUGCUUGGUGGUGAGAGUGGCGAACGGGUGAGUAAUGCGUGACCGACCUGCCCCAUACACCGGAAUAGCUCCUGGAAACGGGUGGUAAUGCCGGAUGCUCCGACUCCUCGCAUGGGGUGUCGGGAAAGAUUUCAUCGGUAUGGGAUGGGGUCGCGUCCUAUCAGGUAGUCGGCGGGGUAACGGCCCACCGAGCCUACGACGGGUAGCCGGCCUGAGAGGGCGACCGGCCACAUUGGGACUGAGAUACGGCCCAGACUCCUACGGGAGGCAGCAGUGGGGAAUAUUGCACAAUGGGCGCAAGCCUGAUGCAGCGACGCCGCGUGCGGGAUGACGGCCUUCGGGUUGUAAACCGCUUUUGAUCGGGAGCAAGCCUUCGGGUGAGUGUACCUUUCGAAUAAGCACCGGCUAACUACGUGCCAGCAGCCGCGGUAAUACGUAGGGUGCAAGCGUUAUCCGGAAUUAUUGGGCGUAAAGGGCUCGUAGGCGGUUCGUCGCGUCCGGUGUGAAAGUCCAUCGCUUAACGGUGGAUCUGCGCCGGGUACGGGCGGGCUGGAGUGCGGUAGGGGAGACUGGAAUUCCCGGUGUAACGGUGGAAUGUGUAGAUAUCGGGAAGAACACCAAUGGCGAAGGCAGGUCUCUGGGCCGUUACUGACGCUGAGGAGCGAAAGCGUGGGGAGCGAACAGGAUUAGAUACCCUGGUAGUCCACGCCGUAAACGAUGAGUGCUAGGUGUUGGAUCCUUUCCGGGAUUCAGUGCCGCAGCUAACGCAUUAAGCACUCCGCCUGGGGAGUACGACCGCAAGGUUGAAACUCAAAGGAAUUGACGGGGGCCCGCACAA